rnacentral:rRNA from 1 species
GACGAACGCUGGCGGCGUGCUUAACACAUGCAAGUCGAACGAAGAGCGAUGGAAGCUUGCUUCUAUCAAUCUUAGUGGCGAACGGGUGAGUAACGCGUAAUCAACCUGCCCUUCAGAGGGGGACAACAGUUGGAAACGACUGCUAAUACCGCAUACGAUCUAAUCUCGGCAUCGAGGAUAGAUGAAAGGCGGCCUCUACAUGUAAGCUAUCACUGAAGGAGGGGAUUGCGUCUGAUUAGCUAGUUGGAGGGGUAACGGCCCACCAAGGCGAUGAUCAGUAGCCGGUCUGAGAGGAUGAUCGGCCACAUUGGGACUAAGACACGGCCCAGACUCCUACGGGAGGGAGCAGUGGGGAAUCUUCCGCAAUGGACGAAAGUCUGACGGAGCAACGCCGCGUGAGUGAUGACGGCCUUCGGGUUGUAAAGCUCUGUUAAUCGGGACGAAAGGCCUUCUUGCGAACAGUUAGAAGGAUUGACGGUACCGGAAUAGAAAGCCACGGCUAACUACGUG